GAAGAACGCUGGCGGCGUGCUUAACACAUGCAAGUCGAACGGAAAGGCCCUGCUUUUGUGGGGUGCUCGAGUGGCGAACGGGUGAGUAACACGUGAGUAACCUGCCCUUGACUUUGGGAUAACUUCAGGAAACUGGGGCUAAUACCGGAUAGGAGCUCCUGCUGCAUGGUGGGGGUUGGAAAGUUUCGGCGGUUGGGGAUGGACUCGCGGCUUAUCAGCUUGUUGGUGGGGUAGUGGCUUACCAAGGCUUUGACGGGUAGCCGGCCUGAGAGGGUGACCGGCCACAUUGGGACUGAGAUACGGCCCAGACUCCUACGGGAGGCAGCAGUGGGGAAUACUGCACAAUGGGCGGAAGCCUGAUGCAGCAACGCCGCGUGCGGGAUGACGGCCUUCGGGUUGUAAACCGCUUUCGCCUGUGACGAAGCGUGAGUGACGGUAAUGGGUAAAGAAGCACCGGCUAACUACGUG
rnacentral:rRNA from 1 species